rnacentral:rRNA from 1 species
UACAGAGGGGGCAAGCGUUAUUCGGAAUUAUUGGGCGUAAAGGGCGCGUAGGCGGCCAUUCAAGUGACGGGUGAAAGCCCUCGGCUUAACCGAGGAACUGCCUGUCAGACUGGAUGGCUUGAGACCGGGAGAGGUGAGUGGAAUUCCCAGUGUAGCGGUGAAAUGCGUAGAUAUUGGGAGGAACACCGGUGGCGAAGGCGGGAUCCUGGGCCAGUACUGACGCUGAGGAGCGAAAGCGUGGGGAGCAAACAGG